AGAGAUGUGUGAUGACGCAUAUCAAUAAGCGGAGGAAAAGAAACUAACUAGGAUUCCCUCAGUAACGGCGAGUGAAGCGGGAAGAGCUCAAAUUUGAAAUCUUAAAGGGUUUACCUUGACGAAUUGUAGUUUAAAGAAGUGUUUUCUGUUGGAGUUUUCGGUAAAAGUUCUUUGGAAUAGGACAUCAUAGGAGGGUGAGAAUCCCGUAUUUGACCAGUUACUUUCCAGCUGUGUGAUACACUUUCAAAGAGUCGGAUUGUUUGGGAAUGCAGUCCAAAAUGGGUGGUAAAUUUCAUCUAAAGCUAAAUAUUGGCGAGAGACCGAUAGCGAACAAGUACCGUGAGGGAAAGAUGAAAAGAACUUUGAAAAGAGAGUUAAACAGUACGUGAAAUUGUCAAAAGGGAAGCGUUUGGACACCAGUGUUGUUUAGUUCGAAAAUCAAUUACGAAUGUUUUCGAUUUUGAGGAGUAUUGACCUUAUCAGGCUUGCUUCUUUUUCUACGAAAUUAUUUAAUGCACUUUUCAGGUUAACAAGUCAACAUCAAUUUCUUUUGUUGUAAAAAGGUAAGAGGAAGGUGGCUUGCGCUUCGGCUCAAGUGUUUAUAGCCUUUUACCCCUGCAAUCGGAGAGAUUGAGGUCUGCAGCGUAGAUCCUUCGGGGUUAGAUACAUUUGUGCUAAGCUAUAGCCUUGUAUAGACAACUUGUUGACUAUGCUCAGUCAUGUAGCUUACUCGCUUAUGCUAUUUUACCUACGCUUAGGAUGUUGAAGAUGUAGCACAUCAU
rnacentral:rRNA from 1 species